UCUACAGGCCGGGUUAUCGUCUUCCCGCUCGCGGGAGGAAGGAAAGUCUGGACAGCAUAGAGCAGUGCACCGGUGAACAGCCGGCUGCAGCCUUCGGGUUGUAAGAGAAAGUGCCACAGAAAAUAACUGUCUGCCGCAAGGCGGAUGAGGGUGAAAAUGUGAGGUAAGAGCUCACGGUACAGCAUGGUAACAUGCGGUACGGGUAAACCUUGCAUGCUGAAAUGCCACGUAUACUGUCGUUAAGGGCUGCUCGCCCGAACCGGUCCGUUCCGCGGAUCGUACGACAGAGGGUAGGCAGAUUGAUCCCGGUGAGUAAUUACCGGGACAGAUAAAUGAUAACCAUCCGCCUACGGCGGAUACAGAAUCCGGCUUACAGGCCUGUAGAUUUU
rnacentral:RNase_P_RNA from 4 species